AACGAACGCUGGCGGCAUGCCUAACACAUGCAAGUCGAACGAGACCUUCGGGUCUAGUGGCGCACGGGGGCGUAACGCGUGGGAACCUUCCCUUAGGUUCGGAAUAGCUCCCCGAAAGGGGUGCUAAUACCGGAUAAUGUCUUCGGACCAAAGAUUUAUCGCCUUUGGGUGGGCCCGCGUUGGUUUAGCUAUUUGGAAGGGUAAAAGCCUACCAAGGCGACGAUCCAUAGCUGGUUGAGAGGAUGAUCAGCCACACUGGGACUGAGACACGGCCCAGACUCCUACGGGAGGCAGCAGUGGGGAAUAUUGGACAAUGGGCGAAAGCCUGAUCCAGCAAUGCCGCGUGAGUGAUGAAGGCCUUAGGGUUGUAAAGCUCUUUUACCCGGGAUGAUAAUGACAGUACCGGGAGAAUAAGCUCCGGCUAACUCCGUG
rnacentral:rRNA from 1 species